rnacentral:rRNA from 1 species
UAUUUUUAACAUUAAAUAUAUUUACCUGGGCACUACGGAUAAUUGAAUCUAAAACCCAAAAAGCUUGGCAGUGUCUUAGACUAUUCAGGGGAACUUGUUUUUUAAUCGAUACCCCUCGUUGUACCUAACCUUUUUUUGUAUUCAGCAUGCAUACCGUCGUCGUCAGUUAAAUUUUAAAAAAGCAGAUUUUAACUAAAAAUUUAUUCAAAUUAAACGUCAGAUCAAGGUGCAGCAAAUAAAAAAGUUAAAAUGAGUUACAUUUGGAAAACCUAACACAAUAAUAAUUUUUAAUACAAUUGUUUAAGGUGGACUUGAAAGUAAAUUAAAUUAUAUAAUUUUUUUGAAUUUAGCUCUAAAACAUGCACACACCGCCCGUCACCCUCA